GCAAUUAUUAUAAAAUCAUUUGAAAACCCUGUGUUACUUAAGUCAAUAUGGAAUAUGUGAUGGUAGAAUACGAGUUUCUUAUUCUUGAUAUCAUUUCUACUUGGAGAAUUUAUUUCAAAAUAUUCAAAAUUCUAGCUACCAUCCUCAGUGUUUUAUAUGCCUGAUAAAACUGAAAAUAUUAAUUAUGAUUAUAAAAGCUAUCUACUCUGUAUUGAGUUUGUUCAAAAUGAGUUAGACCCUUGUUGAGAGAUUUAUCAUGC
rnacentral:lncRNA from 1 species